rnacentral:rRNA from 1 species
AGAUACCCUGUUACUUAUAUUAAAAAUAUUUUGGAAUAGUAAUAUUUAGGAAAUUUAACGGAUUUGGCGGCAAGAUAGCCAUUUAGAGGAACCUGCCCUAUAAACGAUGAUCCACGAUUAAACUCUACUUUUAUUUGUAUUUCAGUUUGUAUACCGCUGUUGUCAGUCAGUUUCCUUAGAAAACUUUCAUUCAUGUAGAAUCAUUGACUUCAAGUAAAGGUGCAGCUUAUAUAAAAGACAGAGGUGGGUUACAUUUAAUAAAUUAAAACGGAUAAAGUAUAUGAAAAUAGCUUUUGAAGGUGGAUUUAAUUGUAAAGUUU